rnacentral:tRNA from 2 species
GCCCCCGUAGCUCAAUUUGGUAGAGCAGAGGACUCUUAAUCCUUUGGUUCCGCGUUCGAGUCGCGGCGGGGGCACCA